rnacentral:rRNA from 1 species
AGAGUUUGAUCCUGGCUCAGGACGAACGCUGGCGGCGUGCUUAACACAUGCAAGUCGAGCGGUAAGGCCCUUCGGGGUACACGAGCGGCGAACGGGUGAGUAACACGUGGGUGACCUGCCCUCAGCUCUGGGAUAAGCCUGGGAAACUGGGUCUAAUACCGGAUAUGACCACAUGUCGCAUGGUGUGUGGUGGAAAGUUUUUUCGGCUGGGGAUGGGCCCGCGGCCUAUCAGCUUGUUGGUGGGGUGAUGGCCUACCAAGGCGACGACGGGUAGCCGGCCUGAGAGGGCGACCGGCCACACUGGGACUGAGACACGGCCCAGACUCCUACGGGAGGCAGCAGUGGGGAAUAUUGCGCAAUGGGCGAAAGCCUGACGCAGCGACGCCGCGUGGGGGAUGACGGCCUUCGGGUUGUAAACCUCUUUCGACCUUGGCGAAGCCUUCGGGUGACGGUAGGGGUAGAAGAAGCACCGGCCAACUACGUGCCAGCAGCCGCGGUAAUACGUAGGGUGCGAGCGUUGUCCGGAAUUAUUGGGCGUAAAGAGCUCGUAGGCGGUCUGUCGCGUCGGUCGUGAAAACUUGGGGCUUAACCCUGAGCUUGCGGUCGAUACGGGCAUGACUUGAGUUCGGCAGGGGAGACUGGAAUUCCUGGUGUAGCGGUGAAAUGCGCAGAUAUCAGGAGGAACACCGGUGGCGAAGGCGGGUCUCUGGGCCGAUACUGACGCUGAGGAGCGAAAGCGUGGGGAGCGAACAGGAUUAGAUACCCUGGUAGUCC